UCCUCUCUCAAACCCCCGGGUUUGGUGUUGGACCGCGUUGGCCGUGAGGCCAACUGGUCUCAAAGACAAUGACGGCGUCCCAGGGACCCUCUUCGCACUGAGCUUUCCGGAGCACGCGUAGAGUUUCAAGGGCCCAGGGACCCGGUCGCCUCUAAAACUUUUAUCA
rnacentral:misc_RNA from 1 species